rnacentral:rRNA from 1 species
GUCCACGCCGUAAACGUUGGGCACUAGGUGUGGGUCUCAACCAACGAGAUCCGCGCCGUCGCUAACGCAUUAAGUGCCCCGCCUGGGGAGUACGGUCGCAAGACUAAAACUCAAAGGAAUUGACGGGGGCCCGCACAAGCAGCGGAGCGUGUUGCUUAAUUCGAUGCAACGCGAAGAACCUUACCUGGGUUUGACAUGUCCGGAAAAGCUCUAGAGAUAGGGUGUCCUUCGGGGCCGGACACAGGUGGUGCAUGGCUGUCGU